GCGAUUCCGGCUACGGAUGGUCAUGCGUCGCAUUAGCUAGUUGGCGGGGUAACGGCCCACCAAGGCGACGAUGCGUAGGGGUUCUGAGAGGAAGGUCCCCCACACUGGUACUGAGACACGGACCAGACCCCUACGGGAGGCAGCAGUGAGGAAUAUUGGUCAAUGGCCGCAGGGCUGAACCAGCCAAGUCGCGUGAGGGAUGACGGUCCUAUGGAUUGUAAACCUCUUUUGUCAGGGAGCAAAGGGCGCCACGUGUGGCGCUUUGCGAGUACCUGAAGAAAAAGCAUCGGCUAACUCCGUGCCAGCAGCCGCGGUAAUACGGAGGAUGCGAGCGUUAUCCGGAUUUAUUGGGUUUAAAGGGUGCGCAGGCGGAAUGUCAAGUCAGCGGUAAAAUUUCGGGGCUCAACCCCGUCGUGCCGUUGAAACUGGCGUUCUUGAGUGAGCGAGAAGUAUGCGGAAUGCGUGGUGUAGCGGUGAAAUGCAUAGAUAUCACGCAGAACUCCGAUUGCGAAGGCAGCAUACCGGCGCUCAACUGACGCUCAUGCACGAAAGCGUGGGUAUCGAACAGGAUUAGAUACCCUGGUAGUCCACGCAGUAAACGAUGAAUACUAACUGUCCGGGCAGAAUGAUGCCUGG
rnacentral:rRNA from 1 species